AAAGAUCGAAGAGCAGUGAUGAAAUGAAAUGAGGUCCAGAAAAAAAUUCUUUGCAUCGUUUUUCUUCCAUUGUUUUCCUGCAAUCUUUUUGCCCGCUUUGUGUUCGUGCUUCGUUUUGAAUCAGAGAACAAACAGGGAAGCUCUGCA
rnacentral:ribozyme from 11 species